rnacentral:rRNA from 1 species
GGUUGAUCCUGCCAGUAGUCAUAUGCUUGUCUCAAAGAUUAAGCCAUGCAUGUCUCAGUGUAAACUUUUAAACAGUGAAACUGCGAAUGGCUCAUUAAAACAGUUAUAGUUUAUUUGAUAUUCAUUUUACAAGGAUAACCUUGCUAAUUGUAUGGCUAAUACAUGCGUACCCGUAAGGGUUGUGUUUAUUAGAUUAUAAACCAACACUUCAGCAAUGAAGUUAAGUUGGAAUGAUAAUAACCAAUCGGAUCGCACGCUUCACGGCGGCGACAGAUCAUUCAAGUUUCUGAUUU